CCUACGGGAGGCAGCAGUGGGGAAUAUUGGGCAAUGGGCGCAAGCCUGACCCAGCAACGCCGCGUGAAGGAAGAAGGCUCUCGGGUUGUAAACUUCUUUUUUCAGGGACGUAGAACGUGACGGUACCUGAGGAAUAAGCCACGGCUAACUACGUGCCAGCAGCCGCGGUAAUACGUAGGUGGCAAGCGUUAUCCGGAUUCAUUGGGUGUAAAGGGAGUGUAGGUGGGAGCGGAAGUCAGAUGUGAAAACUCAGGGCUCAACCCUGAGACUGCAUUUGAAACUGGGUUUCUUGAGUGCUGGAGAGGCAAUCGGAAUUCCGGGUGUAGCGGUGAAAUGCGUAGAUAUACGGAGGAACACCAGUGGCGAAGGCAGAUUGCUGGACAGUAACUGACGCUGAGGCGCGAAAGCGUGGGGAGCAAACAGGAUUAGAUACCCGUGUAGUC
rnacentral:rRNA from 1 species